rnacentral:rRNA from 1 species
GACGAACGCUGGCGGCGUGCUUAACACAUGCAAGUGGAGCGACGAACCAGGGCUUGCCCUGGGGCAGAGCCGCGAACGGGUGAGUAACACGUGGGUAACGUGCCCCGAUGACUGGGACAACCCGGGGAAACCCGGGCUAAUACCGGAUGUGCCCCCUCACAUCAGUGAGGUGUGUAAAGGAAGCUUCGGCCUCCGCAUCGGGAUCGGCCCGCGGCCCAUUAGCUUGUUGGUGAGGUAACGGCUCACCAAGGCGGCGAUGGGUAGCUGGUCUGAGAGGACGAUCAGCCACACUGGGACUGAGACACGGCCCAGACUCCUACGGGAGGCAGCAGUGGGGAAUCUUGCGCAAUGCGCGAAAGCGUGACGCAGCAACGCCGCGUGGGGGAAGACGGCCUUCGGGUUGUAAACCCCUUUCAGUUGGGACGAAGGUCGGGCGGUUAACAGCCGUUCCGGCUGACGGUACCUUCACAAGAAGCCCCGGCUAACUACGUG